UCUUGGUUUUCAUACCUUGUAACAGUUUGCCCCCCCCCUUGCAAACCACACGUAGAAAGGGAAUAAAAUCAGGAUGCUGGAGGACAGCUUUCAGAGUUACCCUCAGCCUGAGACCUCCAGCUUACAAGCCCCCCUUCCAUUGGGCCCUAUCCCAUGACAAACGUGUUGACAAGACAGGUAGUAUCACCUUUUCUGCCCUAGUUUACUCCCCCCCCCCCCCCACCCCCAGAAAACUGGUUAGUCAUAGGCUAAUACUGUUUGCUUAGAAUACACAAGACUAUGGAUCAUAUGUGCAGCAGCUUGCUCAGAGUGCAUUUAAUGAAUUGUCUGGUGCACCUGAUCUUUGUCAGUGAACUGUGUCAUAGCCAUGGUCUUCUCACUGGGCAAAAUAAAUCAGGGAACGGGAUGGGGCAAGCUCCUUGCUGCAGAAUCCAAAUUGCACAGAUGCUGAUGAAUGUUUUCUGUAGAGUAUCCCCAUGAGAUCAAGUUGCCGAUUUUACAGGCAGUGAGCAGAGGAUGAAAAAUACGUGAAAACACAAGUGCUUGCUAAUUUGGAUCCCCAGCUUGAGAUAGCUGGGAUUUGAGUUCUUCUAGAAUCCCUAACAUUUCAGUGGCUCCUCUGCCUGGGCAGAAAGCUUCAAUAUGCCAGUACUAGCCUCAUCCACACUGCUAUUUAGGGAUGGACCUUUGCUCUUUCCUUCUCUCUUCUGUUCCUCCGUAUCAUUUUGCAUGCCCUUGUCAGCUCCCAUGUUUUCUGGAUUAACCUUGAGAUAAGCUAAGAACCCUCCAAAAAAAGUGACUUCUGCUUUUAGCCUACAAGCCAGUGGUUCUUUCAAGCCAGUGCCAUCGCAGCACAGACUCCUCCCUGCGCCUCUCCUGCCUCUACUACAGCUCCUGUGGGCUCUGUGACUGAAAUAGCUAUGUUGUUCAGGCAUAAGUAAAAUACUGUUUAUUAUUCUACUCUGCUUAUACUUCAGUUCAUCUGUCCCAAAGCAACUGCAUGAGACAAUAACGUUGACAGAGUUCUGAGCAAUGUGAAUCAAGGUUUUACAGUCCAGUGUAAUAGAUUAAUGUAACUUCUUACCAGUUUCACCGUACUGGUGGAACAGCCACUGCAGCCCCAUGUCUUUUUAAUGACUUAAAUAUCAAAGGAACUGGAAGAGUCUCACAACUAAGAUUUUGGAGGAAGCUGAAGGAGUGAGUCACAAGCGGUCAUCUGGUCAGUUGGUAAGUGUUUCUCAGGCCUAUUUUUAAUCGUCUCCAAUGAUGAAGACCCAAAGCCUACUCCAAGAAAGCUGUUGUUUUAUUGCUUUGCUAUCCAGUGCCAGAAAACAUUUCCCUCAUGCUAACCUAAAAUUCAAUGGCUGUCAUGCUAGUGAUGCACUCUGGUGUUGAAACAUUUUUUGGUAAGCGUAUGACACCGCUGGGAUGCCUUUUGUUGUGAUCUUAUUCAGAACCGAUACUCAGCCUCAUUUUUUAUCCAUCAUGUGUUUCACUCAGACUACGGAGUAAAGCCUCACAUUCCUUGCUGAGUUUUGUCUUUCCUUUCACUGACAUUUUCUCCAAUCUGUUUUGACAAUUUUGAAUCAUUUUGCUAUGCUUCACCUGUUUGGAAAUAUAAUGCAAAUAUAAUAAGUGCUGUCCCCAUUCCAUCAUUGGAGAGAAUAUUAAAUCUUAUCAGGCCUGCAGUAGACCACUGUUGUCUUUCAUUCAGUGCAUCCUUCUGUAACACUGUUUUCUCACCAGCUUUGUACCGACUCUAUAUUAGGUUGCAAAUGCUUUUCCAUUAGCUUCCUUAUGAGAAAGUCACAAUAGAUAGAUGUGCAGGAAAUGCUUAAAUACUAUUUGCUCACUAAGUGGUAUUGUAAGGAGGUGGCUAAGUGCAGUAGGGGAACAAUAACCACCAGAGUACUUAGAGUUCAUGAAUUUCAGAUAUUUGACUCAUCCAGUUAGCCAAACAAGCAUUGCAUUUUUGGUCAUGAUGACUGUUCUUCUGCGAAGCAUAUGCCAUCUUUCCAUCUGAGUAUUUAAUUGCAUACUUAAAAAAUAUAUAUGUUCUGGCACCUUGGUCUUGUUCUUUGCUAGUGAGUAGCCUGUGUUUUUCUUGCAUUAGAAACAAACUAUUCUUAUGCAAGUGGAACAGGUUUUAUAACAACUCAGAUGUUUAAUUCACCAUUGGUGAAUCUAAUGACAGGCAGUGCCUUCAGUCAAUCAAUGCAAUUGGAAUUUCAGCUUUCCCUUUCAUUUAUUGACGUAUUAGAUUAAAAUAUGAAAUUCUACUGAUGUUAGCUGGGUGCUUUUUCCUUAUUAAAGCAGUAAAAUUAUGCAGAAGAACAGCAUUUUUUUUUUCCAUCUUCAAAAGCAUUCAUGGCAGCUAAGAACUGAGAGGGAAACCUUGGCUACCAUAAUACACAUUUAUCAUUUAUCUGCUCUCGUGGUUGUCCUCCACUGUUUAUGCUUUAAAAGAGAUAGAAAGCCUUCUAGCUAAUAUUUGUUUUUAUUGUAGCACUAAUAACCUUAAAUCCUGACCAGCAUGACGAGAAAUACACAGCAGCUUUGGAGAUAACUUGAUUUGCUUUGGUCUUCAUUGGUCAGUGCCUAUCAAAGCUAGGUUGAUGAAAGCUACUUCUUGAGCUCAGAGAAGUUCAUAGAGGAACACAGCAGUCCUAAGAUAGUGAGGAAUCCAUUGGCAGAGAGAUUGGAGCUGCAGAAGUGAGUUGUUGAGAUUCACUUGAUGUGUUCGAAGGAUAUUUUUCUGUAGAUUAACGUGGAAGAAGGAAAAGUAACCUCCCAGUUCCUGCCUGGUGAUAAGAAAAUAGGCCAUUCAUAGCUGACAAGCUCCCCUAUCCAGAACAACAAACAUGGCCAUUCUGUGGAAUUAAGUAUUUCAAGGUACAGCUCUUUGAAUCAUUCUGAAGAAUUUAAUCCAACAAACGUGCCCAGGUUUCUCUUCGUAAAUCAAUGCAUUCAGUGUGUCAUGCAGGAGCACUCAUUCAGGAGGAGUUCAGAGGUAUGGGAGCAGCUGGCAUUGACCUGGUAGACCAGGUGGGUGUACUGGCCACCACUGGUGGAAGCUGAGAUGUGCAUAACAGGUCGCUACGCCAAGCAUCCAGUUGCUUUCCAUCUGAGGCAGCACAGGAAAAUGCUGUGCUCUGUUUCUGUCGCCCUCUUCCCUAUUGCGAAGGUUGUUGCUUCACCCAUCCUUCAGCUGAGCAGCCAGGAAGAGCAGUCAGGUGUUGACUUUGGAGCCAUUGUCAGAACCUAGCCAGGGUCAGUUCCACCUAAAACGGAACGGCUGGUUUCACCUGGGUGAUCUGGAAGGAGCCCCUGUGUACCAAGUGACAGAAGCAUAUGCCCCAGGACCAUUCAGGACUGCCCAAAAGCAACCACUGCUGUGCCAACAACAGGCAGCUGCUGGGAAAAUGCCUGCUUCUGUCGAGGAAAAAAUCCGCCUGGGGCUCUUGGAGCCAUCAGCUGCCUAGAGCAGAGAAAACCCAGCUCCUCCCUGGGUUAGAGCAGCAGUACCUCCGAGCAGGAGAGGAUGAAGCAUCGCCAUGCAGUGACAAAGCAGAUUCUGCCUGACUGAGUAGCUGAUGGUGCCUGCAAGGACCUGGGCCAGAAGUGCACCCAAGGGUGCUUUGCAUGAGUCCUGGCCACCACUGCCAUCCCCUGAGAGGAGAUGCAACAGCACCUGCUGAGUGUGCAGCUGGCAGCUAAGGAGGUGGAGCAGCUGCUGUGCCUUGCUUUGUUCUGCCCAGACAGGAGCAGGCAGAGGGUAGGCUAUGUAUCAGAUGGACUUCCACAUCACCAUAGUUCUGGGAGGACUGAAAGACUGUGCUAGCACACCCCACCCUCUAUGCACAGGUGCAGAAUGAUGUGCUCUGGAUACAACUGGAGCCUGCAGGAGGUGCCUUGAAAGCUGACAGAGGUGACACGGGCAGGUAAAUAAAGGUGUGGACAUUUAUUUGAUUUUCCACCUUCCCUAAGACAGCGUGGGGUUCGGGGUUGAAUUAUGGGUGUAUCACAUAUCUUCAUCUUUCCGUGUGAUCUAAGCAGUUUAUGCACUCCAAUAGAAGACCACAAUGUAGUGUUAAUGUAACCCCUUUGAAUGCUACGUGGGAUGCAUUUCUUUGAUUUUUUUUUUUUUUCCCCCAGGACUUUUAUAUUUUGACUUAAGCAUUUUAAAACUUAGAGGAAAUAAAAGUCUUCUCUGACACUGAUGGACCAAAACUUAAAUACUGAGUAAGACUUGCUUUCUGGACCUGAAGUACUGUUUUCUAGAUCCAGGCACUGGAAUGCCAGAAUGAAAUCAAAUUGAAAACAUUAGUGGUGGAUUUGUGAUGAUGACCUCAGUAUGACAGGAAUGCACUGUGAGUUUUCUGGUUUGGAGAACAAAUGUUACUAAGAAGCCUUUUCUCUUAAAAAAAAAAAAACCUGUAAGCAUAAAACAUCAACUUAGGAAAUUCUCACGCUGUUAUUUAAUCAGAAGUAUAAAAAAACCCAAAACAAAUGCUAUUUUCGAGCAGUGAGGUUUUUGUUCUAAGCUACUGCCAAGAACAUAUUUUUGUCUGCUAAGUCAGGAUGCUGAUAUGGAACCUAUUAUUUUAGAUGAGCGUGUUAUUUCUGGAAAAAUUCAGCAGUUUCAGUCAAAGGAUUUUGUAUGUUUUUUCCUCAAAGAAAAACAAUGCAUUAGGUUUUUCUCUUUUCCCAGACAUGUCAAAGCUGGCAGAAGCAGCAUGAUACUUGAUGAAGUCAAUAAACUAGAAGACUACUUCCUUUUCUAACUUAAGUGCUUAAAACACACCUGGAGACAGAGAUUAUACCUGGAACAUACUGUAGGGUUGCCACUCAUGCUUUCGUAUUUCACAGAUGCAUUAUCAGGCUUUGCUUUAAAAUUUAUGGUCAGAAAUAUUUUCUCUCUUUCUCUCUCCCCCUUCCUUCCCCCCUUCCUUCCUCCGAGAUGGCAGAGAAUUCUGUGCUAGAUGUGGAGCUGGGUGAACUCCCUCUGGUGGUUAACUGCAAACCCAGAUUACUCAGCGAUCGCCACGUUCCUAGGUUGAUGAAGUAGCUUUCCUGGUGAAGAAAUACGUGUGUCAAAACUUGCCAUAAAAAUAAUUUCCCUGGAGUCUGCCUUCACGCUCCUUCAUAAAGUGGAUAUUGAAUUCAGUCACAGAAACCAUGGAGGUGUGCACCAGAAAAGCAUCAUAACAUCUUGUUAGGCAGAUAAAAUACGCUCCACGCGUUGUCCAUCCAGAAGGAUAAGGAAAACACCAAGGAACAAAGACAGAAGAAGUUGCUUGCAAUAUUGAAAAAUGGUAAUCUACUGGAUCAAAACUAUUGCAGACCUCUGGCUGGAGGCCCUAAAUAGUUUGCUGUGUUUAGGGAAAAGCAUUUCACUUCAUGGUUUUGAGUGAUUACUGUAAUUUGCAUUUUAGAAGGCACAUCUCCUUCCUAAUAAAGCUAUCUGAAACCACUGGGAUAUGGCUACUAGUUGCUAUCGCAUACAUCUGUCAUGACGAGGAGUCAAAAAGCCAUAUCAAAACCAGGCCAUUAUCUUUCUGGACUAUUAACAGAAGCAUUUUAUAUAAGAGUGGAAAAAUAGUUUUUGUUCGUUGGUUUGUUUUUACAUAGCUCAACGCUCAGGCCACAGAUCAAUCAUUUUAUGUCUUUAAUACACAGCAGUGUGUUUCUAAAGUGGCCUUCAUCGGUAUGGGGAGACAAUUGGGCCCCUUUCUUUUAGGUUGCAGGAUGGGACCUCUCACCUCUGGAUCUGUGCAGCUCCUGUAGGCUGACUCCCUUUGCUCAGUUUUAGACAGUAGCCGUAAGUGCACAAAAAGCACAGGAUUCAUUCACUGCAUCAAAGGUAUCUAUGUCUUAUGGAUAUGUGUAAACUAUUGAGAGGUGCAGAAUUUAACCCAUUUCUUCUUGCCUCACAGUCUUCCUGAAAAAGGUGACUAGUGCAUUAAGUUUGUAAAACCUGUUAUUUUUGGCAUCUGCUACCACUGGAUGGUACCAGGGAGUCUGGAUGUGUUGUUUUUUUCCUUCAUCCACACUUCACAUAUUUUUUCCAACUUUAUUUAUAUCUGAAAAAGAAGCCACGGGGGAAUUUUUAAAAGGGAAGCAUCCAACACAAACAAGCGUUCCAAUUCAUGUGUAGCAAGAUAGUAAUCCUAAAACACAAACCAAAACCACUGAGAUCAUUCUGUCACAAUAUAAAUCCUACAUAUAGUAUUUUCUUAAGAGUUCUUUGGGAAAAGAAAAGAAAAAAAAAAGAUCUUGUGUCUCACAUUUGUUCAACCUGAUCAGUUACUUUUGUCAGCUGUGUAUCUGCCUGUGAUAACUUCUUGCUUUAUCAUGGGAUUGUAGGAGGUGGAGCUGGAAUGGAUCUCAGGAAAUCUCUAGUUCAUCCCACUGCCUAACGCUCAUCUGUCUCCUAUCUGACAAAACACACAGAACCAUUUUUACAGCGUGAACUGUUUUUCUUCUUAUUCUGGUUUUUGGGAAAAAAAAAAAAAAAGGAAAAUGUUUAGAAAGAUGAAAAUUUCAUGGUAGAAAAAUUAGUAUUUCAGGCCUAAAUAAAAUCCGGUAAAAUAUGGUGAAGUGUCCUGCCCAUCUUUCAGUAUGUUGCUCUGUUUACUAUUUGUUUUUAUUUUCCUUUUCUUCCUUGUGCUGUUUUACACCUUUUCUUUCUUUCUUUCUAGAACUGUUCUCUUCUAGCUUCUGCAUUUCCUUUGCCCUUAUUUGCUCUGUUAUCUUCACAGAUGCUGCUACGAAGAGAACUGAAUGAAACACCCUUCUGUAGAAGAGCCAUCAGCAACACAGCUAAAGCAAAUGGAAAUGCAGUAAGCACAGAAACGAUGUUGGUAAUUGUUGAUAAUCAUCUCAAGACUUUUCUAAUUAAUUUCCCCCUACUUUGACUGCAUUUAUAUCGUGGUCUGGAUACAUCACAUAAUAACACAGUGAUCACUUCACAUUGCAUCCAAGCUGCUCUUUUCCACUCUCGUGCUCUGGCAACACCUUGCUUUUUCCUCUGAGCAUCACAUUUCCUUCUCCUGUCCAAAUCAACAUUCAACCUCUCUGUGAGAUAUUUUCCCCUCUCUCUUUCAGUCACUGCCAUCACAUCUGUACAGUUCUGCACCUUGUGCCAUCGCUGGCUGAAAGAAAUGACAGCGUGGUGGAAACCUUUGUUCCAGGUGUCCUGACAUUCCUUUCAGUGCUGUUCUGGAAGGAGACCUCAAGAUUAGCAGCUGGGUUUUGAAGAUCUAGAUUUAUACAUCAUGACCUACAAUGAAAUAAAAGGAAAUCACCAUGCUCAGUGGAGGAGCAUAAAACACUGGGUCAUUUGCGAGUCAUUAAACUUGGAUGUUUAUGUUUAAUUCUAUACCCUAUUUACAAAGAGAGAAAGAAUUAAAGCAACUGAGAAGCGUGUUGCAUUUCUCAGUGUCUAACAGCAAACAGAUUUGUUUUGCUUGGAAAUAGGGAAGAAGAGAGCGCUUCGAACAUGCAUAGUAACAUCCAGUUGUCUGGAUGAUACCCACCCAUUUCAGAGAGAACCUUGGGAAACCCCACAGAGUACUGAGGUCUAUCCAGGCAGCCUUUUUUUAAAUGUAGGCAAGAACGGUGAGCUUUGGUAACAAGUACUCCAAGAAUUACAAGUAAGAAAGCAUGGAGACAACAGAAAAACAGGAAUUGAAAGUAAUCUAAGUGAAGUGUGGUUGGGGCAUGAGUAGCGCACGUGUAGUAAGGUUUAGUUCAGUUCCUUGAAUCAAAGUACAGCAAGGCGAAUUACUUUAUUGUCCUCUCAUUGGACACCAUGGGAAAGCGGAUAGAGUGGGUGUAUUUUGUGUUACACAAAUAGUAACUAUCUCAAAGAAUUUGCUAACUGAUGCCCUAAAGGCUAAGAAGUAAAAUAUUACGUUGCUAUCCCCAGAGCAACAGCUGAGGUUAUGACUGUACAAGAAAAUAAAUCCACUGAAGUCCAAAAGUAAUGUAAUGUUUGGCUUUCAUGAGCUGAUUUUCCCCAGCCACAUUCUCACACCAGACCACGUUUAUUUCUCCAACUCUUUGAGUACAACAUUUGUUUGCAUGGCUUUAAGUGUUGCAAAACAGAGAAGGGACUCAGGAGGGACCUCUUGAUGAUGCUCUGCUACAUCCACCGUGUGGCAUUCCAGCUCAGUAGGAAAGGCAGAGGUUUCCUUGUGAUCCUAAUGGUAUUGAAACUUCGUUUUUUCUUGCAAGACCACUGCAAGGGAAAGGAAUCUGCUGCUGCUUAUUGUUUAACAGCAUCCUAACUGAGUAGGGGUAAAGGUUGUUAAAGGCUGAGCGCAUGCUCAUCUCACUUCUUAUCUUACCUGUUUUUGCUUUAUGUAACAUUAACCUUGACUCUUAGAACAUUCUGUAAGGUAUUUUUUAAUCAAAGAGAAUCCUAAAACCUAAAUUCUUCUUUAGUCACUGAUUAUAAAGGCACCGCAGAGCUGAAUGUCUUGCUUCUAUCUCAUUUUUAAGGAAAAAGGCUUGGACUGCAUAUUGCACUGUCAAACUCGUUGUCCCCAAACCAAGAGAAAAAGGCAAGCAAAUGCAAAUCAUAUUAAUGCACUGUGAAACAGAGAGAGGGAAGAGUUCAUUAACAAAUGAGGAAGAACUGCUCAGGCAAAAUGAAAUAGUUUGGUUAUUUCCUGGGAGAAUAAUAGCAAGCACUCUCUGAAUAUUAACUAGUAGAACUAAAGCACAAGUUUUACAGUCUAUGUGAAACAAGGGGAUGCUUGCCACUCGACUGCUGCUGGACCUGCUGAUGAGUACACUGACAGUGCUUUCUUAUUCUGAGCAGCAUGACUUUCUGCAGGUAAGCUCGUUAAGUAAAUAAAUUAUGUUUACACACACAGAAUAUGUAUUUCAUAAGAACAGAUCUUUGAACUCCCCUGUCUGUGUAAGCUACGCUGUGGAUUACAAAGAGGCAGCGCAUAAAUGGUUGCUUAUGGCACUUGGCAUGAGAGCAGCACAUUUGUCAUGUCCAUAGAUGGUCACCUGCCAAAAGUUGCCCACUACUUUUUAUCUGCUUAUGUGCCAAUAAUAUAUUAAUCCUGGUUGUCUACAGGUAAACGAAGUAUGCCAAGUUUCCAGGGAGUAUCCAAUGGACAUUGGGAAGCAUCCAAAAGGUUGUUAUGUUCCAUGCGUAUUCAUGCACCCUAGUCUGCAGAAUUAUGCUAUACCUGGUGAGGUUUGCUCUGAAAGAAAAUAACCUGUUGAAACUCAGUAAAUCCAUCUGUUGCCUUGAACUGCCCAGACACGUUUAAUAUGGGCAGAACGUUCCAGUAGUGGGAAUCUCUGAUACCUUAACGUGCUCCCAAAGAAAUACCUUAAAAAACAAGCCUCCAAAUUACUUUUCUGGCUGUCCAAGUUGUUGGUGUCAGGGUGCACCGGACAAGGACAAGUGCUAUGUCCAGCUGCUGCAGGAGGACUCCUGGUCACCCUUUCUGCCCUGGCAGGCACAGCCGAGGUCAGCAAGACAGAGUAAGACUGUGCACUAUCUGGCAAUCAGCAAGAUACUGGACUGUGUUCUGGACAGAUUUCACAGCAAGCAGUUGAGACAGGUCAGUAUAAACACCUGCGCUGCAUGUGAGCUGCUGACUUCUGAGGAGGAAUUUCUCCUAAUUGGUCUGUGCAAAGAAAGCUAAUAUAAGAGGGGGAGGAGGGGGGAAAGCAUGCAUUGGUUGGAGAGUGGAUAAGAACCUCCAUCUGACCCAAAACGCGUCUUGGCUGUGACAAAGAAAAGUGAAAUAAAUUGCAA